AUUGAACGCUGGCGGCAGGCCUAACACAUGCAAGUCGAACGAGUGGCGGACGGGUGAGUAAUGUCUGGGAAACUGCCUGAUGGAGGGGGAUAACUACUGGAAACGGUAGCUAAUACCGCAUACCAUCAGAUGUGCCCAGAUGGGAUUAGCUUGUUGGUGGGGUAACGGCUCACCAAGGCGACGAUCCCUAGCUGGUCUGAGAGGAUGACCAGACACACUGGAAGUGAGACAAGGUCCAGACUGGGACGGGAGGCAGCAGUGGGGAAUAUAGAAGAAUGGGGGAAAGCCUGAUGAAGCCAUGCCGAGUGGAUGAAGAAGGCCUUCGGGUUGAAAAGGACUUGCAGCGGGGAGGCGUUACCCGCAGAAGAAGCACCGGCUAACUCCGUGCCAGCAGCCGCGGUAAUAC
rnacentral:rRNA from 1 species